CAUGCAAGUCGAACGAAGUAGCAAUACUUAGUGGCAGACGGGUGAGUAACAUGUAGGUAUCUACCCUUUGGCCUGGAAUAACACGAGGAAACUUGUGCUAAUACCGGAUAAGUCUUUACGGAGAAAGCUUUAUGCACCAUUGGAUGAGCCUGCACUUGAUUAGUUUGUUGGUGGGGUAAUGGCCUACCAAGACUGUGAUCAAUAGCUGAUUUGAGAGGAUGAUCAGCCACAUUGGGACUGAGACACGGCCCAAACUCCUACGGGAGGCAGCAGUGGGGAAUCUUGCACAAUGGAGGAAACUCUGAUGCAGCGAUGCCGCGUGAGUGAAGAAGGCCUUUGGGUUGUAAAGCUCUUUCGUCGGGGAAGAAAAUGACUGUACCCGAAUAAGAAGGUCCGGCUAACUUCGUGCCAGCAGCCGCGGUAAUACGAAGGGACCUAGCGUAGUUCGGAAUUACUGGGCUUAAAGAGUUCGUAGGUGGUUGAAAAAGUUAGUGGUGAAAUCCCAGAGCUUAACUCUGGAACUGCCAUUAAAACUUUUCAGCUAGAGUAUGAUAGAGGAAAGCAGAAUUUCUAGUGUAGAGGUGAAAUUCGUAGAUAUUA
rnacentral:rRNA from 1 species